CUACGGGAUGCAGCAGUGGGGAAUAUUGCACAAUGGGCGCAAGCCUGAUGCAGCCAUGCCGCGUGUAUGAAGAGGGCCUUCGGGUUGUAAAGUACUUUCAGCGGGGAGGAAGGGAGUAAAGUUAAUACCUUUGCUCAUUGACGUUACCCGCAGAAGAAGCACCGGCUAACUCGCGUGCCAGCAGCCGCGGUAAUACGGAGGGUGCAAGCGUUAAUCGGAAUUACUGGGCGUGAAGCGCACGCAGGCGGUUUGUUAAGUCAGAUGUGAAAUCCCCGGGCUCAACCGGGGAACUGCACCUGAUACUGGCAAGCUCGAGUCUCGGAGAGGGGGGUAGAAUUCCAGGUGUAGCGGUGAAAUGCGUAGAGAUCUGGAGGAAUACCGGUGGCGAAGGCGGCCCCCUGGACGAAGACUGACGCUCAGGUGCGAAAGCGUGGGGAGCAAACAGGAUUAGAUACCCUCGUAGUC
rnacentral:rRNA from 1 species